CCCCAGUUUCCUGUUCUCAGCUGAAGUGCUCAGGGUGUGACAGAAACACUGUGCAGGGCAGGAAGGAAGUGGAGA
rnacentral:miRNA from 12 species